CUUGAACCUGGGAGAUGGAGGUUGCAGUGAGCUGAGAUCACGCCACUGCACUCCAGCCUGGGCCACAGAGCAGU
rnacentral:miRNA from 1 species